ACGUAGGGAGCGAGCGUUAUCCGGAUUUAUUGGGUGUAAAGGGUGCGUAGACGGGAAGUCAAGUUAGUUGUGAAAUCCCUCGGCUUAACUGAGGAACUGCAACUAAAACUGAUUUUCUUGAGUACUGGAGAGGAAAGUGGAAUUCCUAGUGUAGCGGUGAAAUGCGUAGAUAUUAGGAGGAACACCGGUGGCGAAGGCGACUUUCUGGACAGAAACUGACGUUGAGGCACGAAAGUGUGGGGAGCAAACAG
rnacentral:rRNA from 1 species